rnacentral:rRNA from 1 species
UACGUAGGGUGCGAGCGUUGUCCGGAAUUAUUGGGCGUAAAGAGCUCGUAGGCGGCCUGUCGCGUCGGAUGUGAAAGCCCGGGGCUUAACCCCGGGUCAGCAUUCGAUACGGGCAGGCUAGAGUUCGGUAGGGGAGAUCGGAAUUCCUGGUGUAGCGGUGAAAUGCGCAGAUAUCAGGAGGAACACCGGUGGCGAAGGCGGAUCUCUGGGCCGAUACUGACGCUGAGGAGCGAAAGCGUGGGGAGCGAACAGG